rnacentral:rRNA from 1 species
GAUGAACGCUGGCGGCGUGCCUAAUACAUGCAAGUCGAGCGAACAGACGAGGAGCUUGCUCCUCUGACGUUAGCGGCGGACGGGUGAGUAACACGUGGAUAACCUACCUAUAAGACUGGGAUAACUUCGGGAAACCGGAGCUAAUACCGGAUAAUAUAUUGAACCGCAUGGUUCAAUAGUGAAAGACGGUUUUGCUGUCACUUAUAGAUGGAUCCGCGCCGCAUUAGCUAGUUGGUAAGGUAACGGCUUACCAAGGCAACGAUGCGUAGCCGACCUGAGAGGGUGAUCGGCCACACUGGAACUGAGACACGGUCCAGACUCCUACGGGAGGCAGCAGUAGGGAAUCUUCCGCAAUGGGCGAAAGCCUGACGGAGCAACGCCGCGUGAGUGAUGAAGGUCUUCGGAUCGUAAAACUCUGUUAUUAGGGAAGAACAAUUGUGUAAGUAACUAUGCACGUCUUGACGGUACCUAAUCAGAAAGCCACGGCUAACUACGUG